CUGGUUGAUCCUGCCAGAGGUUACUGCUAUCGAGGUUCGACUAAGCCAUGCGAGUCGAAUGUAGCAAUACAUGGCGUACUGCUCAGUAACACGUGGACAACCUACCCUCCGGACGGGUAUAAACCCGGGAAACUGGGUAUAAUCCCCGAUAGAUCUCGGUCGCUGGAAAGCCCCGAGAUCGAAAGCUCCGGCGCCAGAGGAUGGGUCUGCGGCCUAUCAGGUAGUAGUGGGUGUAGCGUACCUACUAGCCUACGACGGGUACGGGUUGUGAGAGCAAGAGCCCGGAGAUGGAUUCUGAGACACGAAUCCAGGCCCUACGGGGUGCAGCAGGCGCGAAAACUUUACAAUGCCGGCAACGGCGAUAAGGGGACCUCGAGUGCCAGGUUACAAAUCUGGCUGUCGUGAUGCCUAAAAAGCAUUGCAUAGCAAGGGCCGGGCAAGACCGGUGCCAGCCGCCGCGGUAACACCGGCGGCUCGAGUGGUAACCGUUAUUAUUGGGUCUAAAGGGUCUGUAGCCGGCCGGAUAAGUCUCUUGAGAAAUCCAGCAGCUCAACUGUUGGGCUUUCAGGAGAUACUGUCUGGCUCGAGGCCGGGAGAGGUGAGAGGUACUUCAGGGGUAGGGGUGAAAUCUUGUAAUCCUUGAAGGACCACCAGUGGCGAAGGCGUCUCACCAGAACGGACCUGACGGCAAGGGACGAAAGCUAGGGGCACGAACCGGAUUAGAUACCCGGGUAGUCCUAGCCGUAAACGAUACUCGCUAGGUGUCGGCCACGGUGCGACCGUUGUCGGUGCCGUAGGGAAGCCGUGAAGCGAGCCACCUGGGAAGUACGGCCGCAAGGCUGAAACUUAAAGGAAUUGGCGGGGGAGCACCACAACGGGUGGAGCUUGCGGUUUAAUUGGAUUCAACGCCGGA
rnacentral:rRNA from 1 species